rnacentral:lncRNA from 1 species
GCGACUGUAAGGCGUCAACUUGCCCUGCCGAUAUUAACAAAGUGUGCCCGGCUCCGUUACAAGUGAAGGGAUCUGAUGGAAGCGUAAUUGCGUGCAAGAGCGCUUGCUUAGCAUUCAACCAGCCAAAAUACUGUUGCACUCCACCUAACGACAAGCCGGAGACAUGCCCUCCCACUGAUUACUCUAAGCUCUUCAAGACCCAGUGCCCUCAAGCUUAUAGCUAUGCUUAUGAUGACAAGAGCAGCACCUUCACAUGCAGUGGUAGACCUGACUACCUCAUCACAUUCUGCCCAUAAGCAUAUAUAUAUAUAUAGAAUGGGAUCUUAUAUGAUAUGAUAUUAUACAUAUAGUUCCCAAUAAAUAAAUUUCCUGGAUCUUGACACAUUGUUGAUGUCAAGAAUUUGUAAUGCAGACGAUCAAAUAACGUAAAUGUUUGGAUUUUAUUUUCGUUCAUGGCUUUCAAAUUUUUGUUUCCUUCAUUUCUUUAUAUGAUGCAUUAUUUCCAGCAACAAAACAUGAGCAUAAUAUAAAGAGAGUUAGCUGCAAUUGAAAUGGUUAUCAAACGGGAGUUUAAAUACGGAUUGUAAUUUUCUGUCAUGCCUGGUGUUGAUGCGAAAAAGUGGUUUGAUACGUAAUUCGUCAACUUAGUCAAAAUGUCCCUUCGGUAGGUCCCCGUCCUUGGUAAGUGGUCCACUCCAGAGGGUCAAGUACCUGCAAAAGGACGCGUUCGGUAAAUCCUUGGGGUACCGGUGCGGUACCGGCCGAAGGCUCUCCGAUGCCUAAAUGAGUACGGAUUUAGUAAGGUUAACUGACAGAUCACACGAUAGCGUACCGUUAGUUCUUCUUCUUCCCUUUUGGGGAUAUGGGUCUCCUUAUAUAGACCUUGGGAGGUGUGCUUUGUGCUCAUUUUUCCGAUGUGGGACUCCAAGCAUGGAUUGUGAACAUGACACGUGUCUGUUGGUAAAAAGGGCCAAGAUAUAUAGCUUCGGUAGUGAGCAUGCCGUAGGGGCCCUGUGAUCAGAGUGGAUCCUGUCCACGUGUCCGGUGGAAAUAGGCCGUUUAAUUAGGUAUAAACAGUAGUCCCUCAAGUUCUCUUUCGAAGGUUCUUCGGAAGGGAAUUUGGUUUUCCUUGGUAGUUCGGAGGUUCUCCUGCCGUUCGGCAUGCUCAUUUGGGGGGAGGAAAGGCGCUUGAGUUGUUCCUUUCGGAAAGUAGUGUUCUGGGAAAAUCGGUCGGGGACUUGAAGGGUCGCCAAUGUUGAGAGGCGAGAGGGCAGAGAGACGCUUCGUCUUCCGUGCCUGGCGCGCAGAUAGAGGCGCCAUUUGCCGGGUGACGCGUGGCCAGCAAUAACACGCCUGUUGGUGCAUUAAUGAGCCGUUUCGUCUCCCGAGGCGUACCGUUACAGUUCUCCCUCUAUAAAUAGAGGUUGCUCUGUAUGAAAAAAUUCACUUUGCAAUUGUGAGUUUGCGCGAGAGCUCUUGAGUAGGCGAUUUUUGAAGUGUGCGAACGGCAAGCAAGGCGAUUUUCGAAGCGUGCGAACGGUAAGCUAGGCGAUUUUCGAAGCGUGCGAACGGCAAGCUAGGCGAUUUUCAUAGCACUCAAGGUAAGAUACCGUUCGGUACCCCUGAAUUUUGUUAUACUUCUGUAUAUGGCAUAGGCUCGCCGAUCGUUAAGUAGGAUCUUCCUUCGGUAGUCUAGUGGCCAUAGGUAGAGAAGUAGGUAUCUGUAGGAUAGCGCAGCACGCACCUUAGUUUUUCCCUUUUUCUUGUUUUGUAGAUGUCCGAUAGCGAGUCACCGUUCGGCGAUGAGCCCAACGCUUUCGACGGGGAGCUAUCUUCCGGCUGGGGUACGUCCAGCGAGGCCGUGAGCCUCGGCGCCGAGGGCGGGGAAGACUCCGAUGCCGAGCUAUUCGGUGAGGAGGCGGAUUCCAUUCCCACCCACGGCAUCGGUAAGGGGUUCAUGACGGGGCACCCGUUACCCCUGGUCGCGGUGUACAGGGACGGUACCCGUGUCGUGCCGUCUGAGCACCAGCCAGAGGCUUCCACCUCCGGCAAUGAUGAGUGUGUUGCCGGUCCCUCUCGGCCGAGAGUUACGAUCGUCCACCGAGAGCGGUAUAGGAUACCGGUGGGCAUACCGCAGAAGACCCUGUUCGGGGUUGAUUAUUUGGGGCCGAACAAACUUACCGAACGGGAGCUUCAAAAGAUUAGGGCCGAAUACCUCAUUCCUGACUCGGUGAAGAUGAGGGUCCCGAGCCCGGUCGAGUCCCUCAGCGACCCUGGGGAUGGUGAAGUCGUCUUCUUCACCGAUAUGCUGGUGCAGGGGGUCAGGUUGCCGUUGCAGCCUGCCGUUCAGAAGUUACUUGCCCAGAUUGGGUAUGCCCCGGGCCAAUAUAACCCCAACUUUUGGGUGGCCCUGAUGGGGGUGAUAACGGCCUUUGGGAUUGCCGGGGAGGGGGAGCCUUCCUACGAGCAAUUCUCCUACCUCUACAGCGUCACUAAGUCGAAGAGUGCCGACCAUGGUGGCUGGGUUCAGGCGAACUGCCUGAAGGCUUCCGAGCGAGGUCACUUCGUCAGCUCGGUGCCGACUUCCCAGAAGUCGUGGAGGAAUCGGCGGGUGCUACUCUCUGGCCAAUGGGAAUCGCCAUCAGGAGUACGCCCGCAGUCCCCAGUACCAACGACUUUCCAAACCGCCGGUAGGUCCCUAGUUACCGAUCGGCAGGUCCCUAGUUGCCUUUCUGUUUUCUUUUUAUAUUUGCUCACUCAUUCUUUAUUCGGACAGGCAAACUCAAGCAGCCGACUCCUACACAAGACGAGAUUCGGCAGAUCGACAGGGUGAGGCUGAAGGUCCCUGCCGCCGAGCGAGUGUACCCGCGCUUCCUUUUCACCAAUAAUCUCAUCAGAGCCGGGCUCGUCGACCCUGCCGAGAGUAAGUGUACUUGUUGCGCUUUUCUUCCUCUUCUCUUUUUUUGUGUGCUUGCCGACUGACUGAUUGUUUUUGGCCAGUGACGGACGCAAGGAGGGCUGCCGAGGCCAAGAAGAUGAACGAAUCUUCCAGGAGGCGCCUCAUGAUGGGCCUCGAGGGCAAGAAGAAAAAGAAGCAGCUCGAGGCCCCUGCCGUUCGGUCGUCGACGGACCCCGAGGAGGUGACCCUCGCUGAGCGUAUGCGGCAGUUGGGCGCUGAGCCUGUCGCAAGGCCGGCUGUCGAUCCCCAUGCGCCGAGGCAUGCCGUCGCCGAUGCCGUCGCCUCAAGGGCUGCCGGGAAGCGGCCGAUAACGGUGGAUUUGGAAACUUCUCCGGCGUCCAAGCGAAGCCGUCCGUCAGACGCUUCCAGGGCCGUCUUUGCGGCGGAGGACGAGGAUGGGCCUACCGAGGCCGUCACUCUCGCCUGCCCCUCGAAGACGGUGCAAUUCGUCAACCAUAUGAUCCUCGGUUCUCAGAUGGAGCUGCCGGAGGUUGACGAGUUGCCGAAGAAGGUUCUUCGGGAGCAGGCUGGACGCGCCUUCCGACUGCAAGCAGCAGUAAGAAUUUAUCUCCCGGUGUUGUCCUUUCAUUAUUUUUUUUUCGGUGCCAAGUGGGGCUUCAAACUAUCUUCCUCGUGUGCAGGCGUCCAUGGAGAUGUGGCUGUGUGUCAAGCGGGCCAUCUCCGCUGCCGAACGGGCAAAAAAGGACUAUGACGACGGCAGGGCUAAGGUUGCCGAGGCUGGAAAGGCUAUCCAGGACCACGCCCAGCUGCUAAAGGAGAAAGAGGCUGCCGAACGGCGGGCUCUCACUUCGGAGGCGACGGUGGGCGAGAUGCGGGCCGAUCUGGAGGCAGCGCGGGCGGCUCUGGAGGCAGCGCGGAUGGCAGCGCGUGAUGCCGAGGCCGUCUCGGAGGCGGUUCAGGACGCUCUGCAGGAGUCCGAGCGGACCAAGGCUGCGGAGGUUGAGGCUGCCAUUCAAACGGCAAUCCAGGGAUACCGUUCUUCCGAGGAGUUCACUGUCCUCCUGGACAGGGAAGUUGGCUCCGAGAUGGCGGGUAUGUUGUACCGAUUCAAGCGGUACAACCCUGGUCAGAAGCUGAACCUCAACUUCGCUGCCGAUCCCCCUCCCCUUCCCGAGGGAAUAACUGAGGAGAUGAUCGAAGACUACGAGGGGGAGGAUGCUGCUGCUGACGAAGCCUGAGGGCCUCUGUAAUAGUUUUAGCCUGUCUUAUUUUUAUUGUUAUUUUGUAUCUGUACCGAACGCCUUGAUGCCGAGGGCAUCUUUAAAUUAGAUGUGCAUAUUUUGUCUAUUUUUGUCUUUUCGAUUUGAUUUUGUUUUAUCGCCGAUAGGAUUUAUAACGUUAUAGAAGUAGCUUUCGAAAUUGUCAAGUUUCGAUGGAAUCUGUAGGGUGACAAUUUCGAAAAUACCUCCUGCCGUAGGUUAGUAAAGAUGCCCCAGAACGUUAUCUUGCUUAUAUUGGCAGCCGUAGGCUAGUAGAGACUGUAACAAGAGUUUCUGAAGCAAUAGUGCCGAAGGCUUUCUAUUUAUCUUUGCCGAAAGGCAUUUACAAUUUUGUCCUACCGUAGGCUAGGUUGCAACUCUGUCCUGCCGUAGGCUAGGUUACUUGAAAUAGUACUUGAGAUGUUCCACGUUCCAAGGAUGACCGAGGGUCUUGCCGUUGGAGUCUCUUAGGCGGUAGGUUCCCGAUCGAAGGAUACCGAUGAUCUCGUAAGGUCCUUCCCAGGAAGGUCCGAGGGUUCCUUCCGUGGCAUCCUUAGUUGCUAGGGACACCUUCCUCAUGACCUAAUCACCGGCUCGGAAUGAACGGUGUCUGAUUCUGGAGUCGUAAUACCGAGAGACGCGUUGCUUGUAGGCUUCGUUUCGAAGGUUGGCAUGUGCUCGGUGCUCUUCCAGGAGGUCGAGGCUUAGAGAAAGUGCUGCUUCAUUUGGCUCUGGUGCGAAGGUUUCCGUUCGGUAGGAAGGUUCGCCAAUUUCUACCGGCACAACGGCUUCCGAACCGAAAGCCAAAGAGAAAGGGGUUUCUCCUGUGGACGUUCGGUAAGAGGUCCGAAUGGCCCAGAGCGCUUCGGGAAGCUUUUCUGGCCAGGCUCCUUUGGCUUUGUCCAGCUGCCGUUUUAGCAGUUUCUUGAUGAUUUUGUUUAUCGCUUCUACCUGACCGUUCGACUGGGGAUGGGCCGGUGAUGCGAAAAACAAGUUGAUCUUCAGGCGGGUGCAAAAGUGCCUGAAGAGUUCCGAAUCGAACUGCCUGCCGUUGUCGGUGAUGAUUGCGUACGGGAUACCGAAACGGCAACAAAUGUGAGUCCAGACGAAGUCCUCUACUCUUGCUGCCGUUAUGGUUGCAAGAGGUUCGGCCUCCACCCAUUUGGUGAAGUAGUCGACGGCAACCACAGCGUAUUUCACCUGGCCUUUACCUUGUGGCAUCGGACCGAUCAGGUCUAGCCCCCACUGUGCGAAAGGCCAAGGACUCACGAUCGGUGUCAAGGGUUCGGCGGGGAUAUGCUGUAUGUUGCCGAAACGCUGACAUUUAUCGCAUUUCUUCACAAGUGAAUUGGCGUCCUGGUGCAUGGUCGGCCAGAAGUAUCCCUGCCGAAAGGCUUUGUGUGCGAGUGACCGGGACCCAGAGUGAUCGCCGCAAACACCAUUGUGGAUUUCCCGGAGAACGUAGCUCCCCUGCUCUGCCGUAAGGCACUUGAGAUACGGAGUCGUGUAGCCACGUUUGUAAAGGACGUCGUUGAUGACGGUGUACCUUGCCGAUCGGUAUCUAAGCUUUCGGGCCUGGGCCUUGUCCUCUGGAAGGGUGCCGUUGGUUAGGUAUGAGUAGAUAGGGGACAUCCACGUAUCCUCGUACCGUACGGUACAUAUUUCGGAGGUUGCCGUGCUUGGUUGGGCAAGAAUUUCCACCGGCACCUUUCUUCCGAUUUUGUCAUUGAUUGCCGAGGCUAGUCGCGCUAAAGCAUCGGCAUGACUGUUUUCGCUCCUGGGGAUCUGUUUGAUCUCAUAGGCUCGGAAGCUCUGGAGCAGCUGGUGGGUGGACGAAAGGUAGGCGUUCAUGGAGGCGUCUCUGGCGGCGAAGUCCGCCGUUACCUGGUUCACAAUGAGUUGGGAGUCACUGUGUAUCUUGAUCUGUUUUGCGUUCAUGCUCUUGGCUAAACGAAGGCCGGCCAAGAGAGCCUCAUAUUCUGCUUCAUUGUUGGAGGUUCGGAAGUUGAAUCGGAGGGCGUACUCGAUCUUGAGUCCCUCCGGUGUUGUCAGAACCAACCCUGCUCCACACCCCUGUUGGUUUGCCGAGCCGUCGACAUGCAGAGUCCAUACAGGAUUUGAGGCGUCGAGCCGUUCGGCGUCUACCUCCAUCGGUGCCGCGGUUUCGGUAACUGGCUCGGGUAUUUCCUGUGUCGUUGGUGGGGUGAGCUCGGAGAUGAAAUCGGCAAUGGCCUGACCUUUUCGGCUGGCCUUGGCACGAAUUGUAUAUCGAAUUCUCCGAGUUCAAUCGCCCACUUGAUCAAUCGGCCGGAAGUCUCUGGUUUUUGGAGUACUUGCCGAAGCGGUUGGUUUGUCAGGACAUUGAUCCCGUGUGCUUGGAAGUAUGGCCGAAGUUUUCGUGCCGAGAUCACCAGGGCUAGUGCAAGCUGCUCUAAUGGGGGAUAUCGAAGUUCAGCGCUCUGGAGUGCCUUACUGACAUAGAAGAUCGGUAGCUCUGCCCUCUCCGGUUUUCGGAUUAACACCGAACUGACGGCAGUGUUAGAUACCGAGAGGUAUAGGUAAAGAAUCUCCCCAGGCAGUGGUUUUGACAGGAGAGGUGCUCUGCCCAUAUAGUCUUUUAAGUCUUGAAAUGCUUUAUCACAUUCGGCAGUCCAUAAGAUAUUCUGUUUGCCCCCUUUCAAGGCUUUAAAGAACGGUACACAUUUGUCGGUAGCCUUGGAUAUAAAGCGAGUCAGGGCAGCCACUCGUCCGGUAAGGCUUUGGAUGUCCUUUGUUGUUUUUGGCCUCUCCAUGUCGAUGAUGGCCUUUAUUUUUUCGGGGUUCGCUUCGAUACCCCUGUGACUAAUCAUGAAUCUGAGGAAUUUCCCGGAAGACACACCGAAGGCGCAUUUCAUCGGGUUUAACCUCAUUCGGUAGCCCUUCAGGAUACCGAACAUGAUAGACAGAUUGUGCAGGUGUUCUUCGGCUGUUCUGCUUUUCACCAACAUGUCGUCAACGUAAACCUCCAUGAUGCUGCCGAUGUGUUCGGCGAAGAUUCUGUUGACAAGCCUCUGAUAUGUUGCCCCCGCGUUCUUCAAGCCGAACGGCAUGACGUUGUAGCAGUACAACCCUCUGUCAGUGAUGAAGGCGGUGUGCUCGCUGUCGGGGGGGUGCAUAAAAAUCUGGUUGUACCCUGAAUAGGCGUCCAUGAAGCUGAGCAGCUCGUGUCCUGCCGUGGCGUCCACGAGCUGGUCUAUUCGGGGUAACAGAAAGCUGUCCUUCGGGCAGGCCUUGUUCAGAUCGGUGUAGUCUUGGCACAUUCUCCAGCCGCCUGUACCCUUUCGAACCAUGACUGAGUUCGCCAGCCAUACCGGGUACGUAACUUCCCUGAUGAAGCCGAUGGUUUGAAGUUUGUCAACUUCCGUCCGCAUGGCUUCGUACCGUUCGGCAUCAUACAAACGGCGCUUCUGCCUUACAGGUUUGUAGGUUGGGGAAAUGCUGAGUUUAUGGCUGAUGAUUUCAGGGUCUAUGCCGGGCAUGUCUUCGUAGGACCAUGCGAACACUUCCGAAUGGUGCCGUAAGAAGUCUAUAAACUGCGCUCGGAGGGCGGGGGUCAGUCUGGUACCGAUUUUAACCCGACGAUCGGGCUGUUCAUCGCUCAGGGUUAUCGUCUCCAGUUCUUCGACGGGUUGCGUAUAAGGAGUUGGUGACUCAUCUCUUGGGUCGUCAACUGGUCCGUUGCCGUUCGGCAUCCCCUGCACAGACAUGGUCUUGUCUGGGAUUUUGAGAGAGGUUGAUUUGAUCGCCGUGGCGUAGCAAGUCCGUGCGCUCAGCUAAUUUCCCCUGACAGAUCCUACGCCAUUUGGGGUCGGGAAUUUCAUCAACAGCAUGUGUGGGGAAAGAUGCGCCUUUACCCUGGUCAGUGCCGUUCGCCCAACAAUGACGUUGUACGCCGUCGGGCAGUCAACGAUGAGGAACUUGUCAUAUACCGUCGUUCUCUUUGGCGCGGUGCCGAAGGUAAUUGGGAGCGUUACGCUACCGACCGGUUGGACCAUGUCCCCGGAGAAACUUAGCAAAGGCGUCAACUGCCGGUUGACCUGGCUGUCCUGUAUUCCCAUUUCUCGGAAAGCUUCGGCGAAGAUUACGUUUACCGAGCUCCCUGUAUCAAUCAGUACUCUCCCUACAUCGUAAUCGGCAAUUUCUGCUCGGACGAUCAUUGGGUCGUCGUGGGGACAGAGAAUGCCCUGUUCCUCUUCUUUGCAAAACGUGAUCGGCUCCCAAUGAUCCUUCGGUGUUUCAUGGUGGCGAUUCACCUCUAUGCCGAACACCUGGGGAAACUGUGCGGCACGCACGUACUGCUUCAUCGAGCGAUUGCUCAGUCCUGCGAUGGUUGGGCCGCCGCUGAUAGUGCUUAUCAUGUUUAUCUGCCGAUUUGCGUUCGGCUCCGGCGCCGUUGGCUGCCGGGCGAUAUACUGGUCUAGCUUCCCCUCUCGGAUCAAGCGUUCGACGAUCUUCCUCAGGCUUAUGCAGUCUUCUGUAUUAUGGCUGUUGUGCUGAUGGUAUCGGCAGAAUUUACCGGUAUCCCGGUUGUCUUGCCGAUUGGGCCUUCGUUGAUUCGGCUUGGGUAUUUUUUCCUGUUCGUUCAUCAGGACGGCCUCGUAGGUAGUAUUCAACAGGGUGAAGACCUCAUUGCCAUGAUCCCGAUUCGGCAGGGGGGCUCGGUUGUCGUUGCGACUGUACCUCCCUUUUUCUUUCUUUGGGUGCUCCCUUCGAUCUGCACGAUCAUCCUUCCUCUUAUGACCUGCCGAGUAGGUGUCGACUCGCUCAUAAGGCGUUGCCCUUGCCGGAUAGGCACUUGGUUCCGCAUUUCCUUGCGGUGCCGAAACCGUGGGUUUCGAGUUGAAGUAUUCGGCCUUGGCGUGGAUUGCUGCCUGCUUCAUCAGUUCAUCGUACGUGCGCCAGUUGCUACUGUGCACCAGGUAUCGAAAAUGAGAGGACCGAAGGCCACUCUUGAAGGCGCCGUAGGCUGCCCUAUCAUCCGUUUCCGGACACCUUGAGUACUCGUGACUGAAACGCGCCGCGUAUUCUCUCAACGGUUCGUCCUCCCUUUGCCGAAUCGUGUACAGAUCAUCGGCGGAGUAGAGACGGUCCGUUUGGAUUAUGAAGUGAUUGAGGAAGAUCUGCUUCAGCUCAUCAAAGGAUGCUACCGUUUCCGGCUCUAAACGGUAGAACCAGUUCAAGGCUGCCCCGGUAAGGGAAGACGGGAAUAGCAGGCACUGCCCCUCAUCGCUCAAGCCCUUGCAUCCAAUAGCGGACUGGAAUGAAUGGAGGUGUGUCAAAGGGUCCUCCGUUCCUGUGUAGAACGUUAUACGCAGUUGCUGCACUUCCCUGUCUUGCCGAGAAUCCCGGAUGCGCCUUGUGAACGGUCCGGGCCGAAGCUUUCCCCAUUCCGGUUCUUGGGAGCGCGCAUUGUCGUUUUCCAUUUUCUGGACCUUCUGAAAAAGGAGUCGGAUCAUGGGGUCUCGGCUAGGGACUUCUUCGGAACCGUAAUCUUCCGAUUGUCUUUGUAGGUUUAGUGAAUUAUCCCCCGCAUACCGCGAUGGUGUUUCCGAACGGUAGUCGGGGGGAAGUGUCUUGGAAGGGAUGUACUCGGACUCCGAAGACUCGGCGGGGCCCAAUCCCCUGACCUUCCGAAUAGGCGACUUAUCCCCUAGGUUAUUCAUCCGUGAUUCCCUUAUUCGAGCGCCAAUCCUGAUCGGUGACCCCUCUCUCUCUGGCUCCCGAUCGUUAGUGCGAUGCUCCCGGUCGUUAAUCCGAUGUCGGCAAUCGGUGUAGACCUUCCUUGGGAUGUGCGGCUGAUCCCGGGGUGCCGGAACCACUAACUCUCUGGAAGGUGCGGGCGUUGCCUUCGCUACCUUCGCGCGUUUGUUCUUCCCGCGGGGGUUCUGCAAGCUCUCGGAAGAGCGAGUUGUCUGUAUGUUCUGCGGUUGCUGCUGGUGAAGCAACUGCUGGGUUUCGUCCACUUUGGACGAAAGGAAGUUGUUGUGUUCCUGAAGCCUCGCCAUGUCCUUCCGUAAGGAUGCGAUUUGGGCUGCCAUCUCGACUUCGGCAGCCGUUUGGGUAGCGGGGGCAUUUCCGAAGGGAGUGUUGGAGGUAGCGCUGGGCUAGCUCCGCUCUGCCUUCCGAACGGUACCCCCUCUUCCGCUAGGAACGUUUGUUUUGAAGUGGUCCCCAUGUGCUUAGGGGAUUGUGGGUUGAUGAUUUUUUGGUUUCCCACAGACGGCGCCAAACUGUUGAUGCGAAAAAGUGGUUUGAUACGUAAUUCGUCAACUUAGUCAAAAUGUCCCUUCGGUAGGUCCCCGUCCUUGGUAAGUGGUCCACUCCAGAGGGUCAAGUACCUGCAAAAGGACGCGUUCGGUAAAUCCUUGGGGUACCGGUGCGGUAUCGGCCGAAGGCUCUCCGAUGCCUAAAUGAGUACGGAUUUAGUAAGGUUAACUGACAGAUCACACGAUAGCGUACCGUUAGUUCUUCUUCUUCCCUUUUGGGGAUAUGGGUCUCCUUAUAUAGACCUUGGGAGGUGUGCUUUGUGCUCAUUUUUCCGAUGUGGGACUCCAGGCAUGGAUUGUGAACAUGACACGUGUCUGUUGGUAAAAAGGGCCAAGAUAUAUAGCUUCGGUAGUGAGCAUGCCGUAGGGGCCCUGUGAUCAGAGUGGAUCCUGUCCACGUGUCCGGUGGAAAUAGGCCGUUUAAUUAGGUAUAAACACCUGGUAAGGAAUAAGCAUGGCUAUUUACGAAACUAUAAUAUGAACAACACUGAGAAACACAAGUAUGGCCAUUUCAAACAGACUACAAAUAACUUCGUAUUCCAACAAUGAAUCAACAGCACCCAUGGCCAUAUACGUUUGCAGCAUCUGAAGGUAGAUCAUCUAAUUAAUGUUAGAAGGAUAAUAGUUUCUAAAGUUCUUUAUUAAAAAAAUCAAUAGACAACCACCAGAGACAAAUUUUGUUUUGGAGAAGAUGAUUAUUCUCAAUUCUUGACAGCUGCAUAAUGCUAAAAUAUGAAUAUGGUUUGAAUACUUUACUUUAGGUUAGUUGUAUUCUUCUUCAUAAAGAGGUAUAUAUGAGUUUACAAGGUGCUUUAUAAGGAAAUAGAUACAGUUAAUUACCAUGGUAUACAAAGUGACUUAGAGACAAAAACUCAGAGACCGACUUGACUUUCACCAUGCGGCUUCUGGAAGUGCAAAUGAACCAUGCACAAGACUUUUAGAGUGAGCUCUUUGGACGUGGACUUGUUAAAACAUGAAAGGUUUUGUGUUGAUUUUUCUCAAUCAUACAAUCCGUUAAUAUACAAAUUUAUGUACACGAACACUACUAAGGAAUGCAAAGACUUUAAGAUCAUACAAACUACAAGUACUUGUUGAGAGUAUUUAGUCCAUGUUUUUUUUUUAAAAAAAUGCAGACAUUCAUUUUGUAUUUUAUUUUCCGUUCAUGUUUUUUUAUGGUUUAUCAAACUCAUAUAAAUAUGAUACAUAAAGCAAAAAAUAGAGAGAGAAUAGUAAAACAUUCAAAAAAUUAAAAAUUGUUCUUACUUCAUUUUUUUUUGUUGGAAUGCAUUUAUUACACAUUGAAACUUUUCAUUAAAUAAGCAUAAUAUAGUAAAUAUAUAUAUAUAUAUAUAUAUUAGAUGGGGACCUAUUUUCUUGGGACACAACUUGACAGGACCCGAUCCAAAUUCCACUUUGGAAUCCGAGCCAUACCCUGUGUGUGUCCGACACUUGGCGAAUGUCGUUUUCCGGCGAGCUCCGGCCACGGAAACUCCGACGAAGGGUCAGAAAAUGACGGCGGUCGAGUGGUGGUUCGUUUGGUACCAACGGCGGAGAUCGGCUCCAAGCGUGGUGGCCGUGGCGACGAUGAGAAGGGAGGAAGGUCGGCUGGCGCGGGCUGAUCGGGAGGAGAGAGAGAAAAGAGAGAAAUUGAUGGGGGAAGAAAGAGAGAGAGAGAGAAACAGGUUUUAUAAAUCUAAUUUUCCAAUUUACCAUUUUCCCCCUCAUGAUAUUUUAAUCGUAUUGUCUUCAUGAAAAUUCCGAUUUGAGCUUACUUCGUGUCUAUGAACUCGUGUCGUCGUGCUCUACGGAACGGUGUAUGGGGAAUUGUCAAAUUCCUUUUCGGUCAAAAAGUCAACUUUGAGUUCAUAAGGUAGUCAAAGGGCAAAAUUGUCUUUCCGUAUAAUAAAUUACUCAUUAAAUAUGAAUUUUAGGUUUGGGUCAUUACACAACUUCUUUAUCUUUUUUUUUAGUUGGAUUCUUAAUUCUUAAAUUAAAAAAACGAAAAUAAAAAACCAAUUGGCACCAAGGUAGUAUAUAUGAAACAUCGUCAGAAAUUAAAUUUUUUUUUUUUUGAAAUGUUCAUAAAAACAAACAAACAAAAAUAUAUACAUACAUUAACAAAAAAAAUAAUUUUCAAAAUAAAUGCACAGUGCCCAAGGAAACUCCUUAUAUAAUGUAUGUCUCUUGAAAAUUGUCAACAAAUCCGCUGUAGCAAUACUUACAAAUGGAUAAUUGUAAUCCGGGUUCGAAUCCCGACAGUGGAAUUCUUUUUAAGUUAGAUGUAUGACAGGAUUCGCCCCAAAUUCCUCGGAACCCGAAAUGAAUCCUGUGAAAUUCCGACAUCACCCCGAUGCCGGGCCCACUUAUUAAAGACCAAGACUUUCUACCAAAAUUUUGGCAGAGUCUCCCCUGUAAUUUGAACAAUCCCAAAAAUUUCAACAUGCAUAAAAUACAUGUCAUAUCCCAACAAGCAGCACGCACAAUAUAAUUUCAUGCAAUUCACAAACUCGACCUUAGGCCCUCACAUGAACCGAAGCGAAACCAAACUACCAACAAAGCCCUUACGCCAAAAAUAUUGCCUUAAUAUGGUAUAACAACACCCUUAAUUCAUCUCUCUAUACGCCUGAAAUUCCAACGCUACGUAUGAGGUCUGUCUCAACGCCGAAAAAUCCUACGCCACGCGAGACCUAACAAAUCACAUAAUCUCCUCAUACGCCGAAAAUUCUAACGCCACAUAUGGGGUCUGUCAUCAUUGAUUUAGGAUAUUAUCUUGAGAGAUAUUAUCAUCAAUUAGUGAUUUAAUCCCAAUCAAAUUGUUAAUUGACUUAAUCUCUCCAUUUAAGGGAAAAAAUAUCUUCCUUCAAAAUAAGAAGAUAUUCGUUGAAAAUCUCUUCAUUUAGGUAAUUCUGAAACGUAGCAAGAAUUCCCCAAAACCUCUCUCUCUCUCUCUCUCUCUCUCUCUCUCUCUCUCUCUCUCUCUCUCUCUCUCUCUCUCUCUCUCUCUCCGCCCUAGCCGACGGCCUCUCUCACUCUUAUCUCUCACACACGGCCAAGUGCCACCACACACGGCUUUGGCCACUCGACUCUCCCCGUGAGAAAAAGCUCCGUACCAUUUUUAGCUAUUGCAACAUAUUUUCUCCUAUUGCCACAUAUUUUCUCAAAGAUCCAAUCGAACUAACUUAGGCAUCGGAGAGAUUUUGACGAACACCUACCAGGUGUGGUUUUUUACUCUUGUUUGUUUCGCAGUAACCGAGCAAGAGAGAGAAGGAAGCUCAAAAAGUGAAAGAUCCACAUGCGAAUAUUCUUCCUUGAGAAAUUUGCAUAAACAGAAGACGUGUGACAUAUUCUUGGUUCAAAAAUAUCCAUCCGAAACAAGGAAAAAAUUGUAAAACCAAACUUAAGAAAUUAUACCUCUAUUCUGGUCAGCAUGAAUGGAUAUGUCCAAACAAAUUUUAAUCCAACAAGAAAAAUCAGAGGAGAAGGUUUAGGGUUUCACAAACAGAUCUACCAAGUAAAACGAAUUAACAUAUGAUAUGGGCAAAAUAAAGAAAUGAGACCAAGAUAAAACUUCUAGAAAGGUGACAAAUUGUCCUUUGAAGUAAUUUUACGUAAGCAUAACAAUUCGAAAUAAAAGAUAAACAAACAAAAAUCCUAUGAAUGGAUGGGACGAGGAAAAUUGAAGCUGACAAUAAAGGUUACUAACUUACUUGGGAUGUAUCCAAAGAAAAAAAAAAACAUGAAGGGAAAUACUAGUUUUCCUUCCUUGUUUUACUUUUCUCCCUCAUUAAUUGUACUUGGCUUUAGCUCCAUGCAUCUUCUCCUCCUUCACGGCAGCUUGGCCCAUCAAUCACGCUAUGAAAACGGCAUUUUUCCAUUUCUUCCAGUCUGGCUACUUUGACAUUUCUUGGGUUUCAUUAUCUAAAUUAAUAUCUAGUACUUGUUUUUUUAUGUACUCGUGCCAAUAUUCAAAGUACCUGCUAUCAUAAAUAAACCUAUGUAAACAGGGACUAAACGUUUAUGGCCCGUUUCCUAGUGUUGAUGACCUAUCAUCUAAUGUUUGAGUUUAAUCCAAAUCUCUCUAGAAGUUUUUUUUUUUUCCUUUCUCUAUGAGGGUUCAAACGUGACACAUCUCGUAACUCGUCUAUAAGUUAAAGUCAAUUUCUAUUGCGCUAGAGACCCUAUUGGCCUCUAAAAGAUCUUUUAGUUACUUCUUUAUCCAAUUGAUCACUUUUUCUACUUUAAUUUUUCUGGAUUGAAUUUGAAUUUUCUGUAAUAUAUAUUUUUUUGGGAUAAUGUAAACAGGGGACUUCACUUCAUUGCAGGUCAAUGACGAUAUCUAGGAACAAUCCAUCAGUCUAGGACCAAACAUUAUGAGUCAUUUGUUAGUUUCCUCAGGGUCCUGUUUACGUGUUGCCAUGGCAGCUUAGACCCGUAAUCAAAAUCGCAAGAAAAGAUCAAAAGUUAGGCACGCUACAAGCCCUAUAUAAAGCACCCCCUGGCACCCAAGUUUAUCAUCAUCCUCCUCACCAAAUUACAAAUUAAUUAAGUUUAUCAGCAACAGCAAGCCAAUUAAGACAUUUCCAAGACGAUGAUGAAGAGCCAAGCAGCUCUCCUCGGCCUCACCACCUUGGCCAUCCUCUUCUUCUCAGGUAUAAUAUUAUACAAACUUUGUUAGUCGAUCAGAUAUCGAUCAAAAGUUUAUUUUUACAAUUGUCUCUGUAAUCUGUUUUCUUAUGAUCACGUUGAAUAUGCAGGUGCACAUGCAGCUAAAAUCACUUUCACAAACAAAUGUUCCUACACUGUCUGGCCAGGAACCCUAACCGGUGACCAAAAACCUCAAUUAUCACUCACCGGGUUCGAGUUAGCAACCGGAAUUAGCAACUCUGUGGACGCUCCGUCCCCGUGGUCCGGUCGCUUCUUUGGCCGAACCAGGUGCUCCACGGACGCGUCAGGAAAGUUCACUUGUGCCACAGCAGAUUGUGGCUCUGGCCAAGUCUCAUGCAACGGUAACGGCGCAGUUCCGCCAGCUACAUUAGUAGAAAUCACUAUUGCUGAGAACGGGGGUCAAGAUUUCUACGAUGUUAGUCUUGUUGACGGCUUCAACUUGCCCAUGUCCGUGGCUCCACAAGGCGGCACCGGAGAGUGUAAGGCCUCAACUUGCCCUGCCGAUAUUAACAAAGUGUGCCCGGCUGAGUUACAAGUGAAGGGAUCUGAUGGAAGCGUAAUUGCGUGCAAGAGCGCUUGCUUAGCAUUAAACCAGCCACAAUACUGUUGCACUCCCCCUAACGACAAGCCGGAGACAUGCCCUCCCACUGACUACUCUAAGCUCUUCAAGACCCAGUGCCCUCAAGCUUAUAGCUAUGCUUAUGAUGACAAGAGCAGCACCUUCACAUGCAGUGGUAGACCUGACUACCUCAUCACAUUCUGCCCAUAAGCAUACAUAUAUAUAUAAUGGGAUCUUAUAUGUUAUGACAUUAUACAUAUAGUUCCCAAUAACAGAGAAGAAUAAAUAAAUUUCCUGGAUCUUGACACAUUGUUGAUGUCAAGAAUUUGUAAUGCAGACGAUCAAAUAAAGGUAUAAAUGUUUGGAUUUUAUUUUCAUUCAUUUCCUUAUACGUGCAUUAUUUCCAGCAACAAAGCAUGAGAAUAAUAUAAAGAGAGUUAGCUGCAAACUGAAAUGGUUAUCAAACGGGAGUUUAAAUACGGAUUGUAAUUUUCUGUCAUGGCUGGUAAGGAAUAAGCAUGGCCAUUUACGAAACUAUAAUAUGAACAACACUGAGAAACACAAGUAUGGCCAUUUCAAACAGACUACAAAUGACUUCGUAUUCCAACAAUGAAUCAACAGCACCCAUGGCCAUAUGCGUUUGCAGCAUCUGAAGGUAGAUCAUCUAAUUAAUGUUAGAAGGAUAAUAGUUUCUAAAGUUCUUUAUUAAAAAAUCAAUAGACAACCACCAUGACUGUUUUGGGAAAUUAGAGACAAAUUUUGUCUUGGAGAAGAUGAUCACUUCUCAAUGCUUGACGGCUACAUAAUGCUAAAAUAUGAAUAUGGUUUGAAUACUUUAUUUUAGGUUAGUUGUAUUCUUCUUCAUAAAGAAGUAUAUAUAGGAGUUUGUUUUACAAGGAAAUAGAUACAGUAAAUCACCAUGGUAUACAAGGUGAUCACUUAGAGACAAAAAUUGAAAUGGUUCCCAAAGCCUUCCCUUAGCAAGCAGGUACCAUUGCAAGAAUGGUUCCAUAGUCAAUAAUGACAAGACCCGCAAGGAUGAUCUCGAAUUUAUAUGCAUGUUUUAAUUUCAUGGGCCUGUUGUUCUUCUACUACAGUAAUUAGAAUUUGUUUACAAGUGUGAAUUUUCCCAGAGCAAUUUCAGGGACCGACUUGACUUUCACCAUGCGGCCUCAGGAAGUGCAAAUGAACCCCGCACAAGACUUUUAGAGGGAGCUCUUUGGACGUGGACUUGUUAAAACAUGAAAGGUUUUUGUGUUGAUUUUUCUGAAUCAUACAAUCCGUUAAUAUACAAAUUUAUAUACACGGAGACUACUAAAGAAUGUAAAACUUUAAGAUCAUACAAACUACAAGUACUUGUUGAGAGUAUUUAGUCCAUGUUUUUUUUUUUUUAAUCCAGACAUUCAUUUUGUAUUUUAUUUUUUUUAUCGUUUAUCGAACUCAUAUAAACAUGAUAUAUAAAGCAAAAAGUAGAGAGAGAAUAGUAAAACAUUCAAAAAAGCAAAAAUUGUCCUUGCUUCAUAAUUUUAUUUCUUUGUUGGAAUGAAUUUAUUACGCAUUAAUUAAACUUUUCAUUAAAUAAGCAUAAUAUAGUAAAUUAAUAUAUAUAUAUUUUUUAAAAUGGGGACCUAUUUUCAUGAGAUACUUCUUCUUCUUCUUUUUUUUUUUUUUUGUUAGAUUCUCUUUCUUAAUUCUUAAAUUCAAAAAAUGAAAAUAAAAAACCAAUUGGCACCAAGGUAGUAUAUGUGAAACAUCGUCGGAAAUUUAAUUGUUUUUUAUUGAAAUGUUCAUAAAAACAAACUAACAAAAUAUAUACAUACAUUAGAAAAAAAAAAAUUUGUUUCAAAAUAAAUGCACAGUGCCCAAGGAAUCUCCUUAUGUAACUUAUGUCUCUUCAAAACUGUAAAAAAAAAAAUCCGCUAUAGCAAUACUCACAAGUGGAUAAUUGUAAUCCGGGUUCGAAUUCCGGCAGUAGAAUUCUUUUUAAGUUAGAUGUAAAUGUGAUCCAUUUUAUAUCAGUUAUAAUAGUUGUCGUAAUGAGCUUCUUUUUAAGUCUCUGUUUAUAUAGCAGCUUCUUCCCUAACUUGAGUAGAAUCCAAUUUGCGGCUAAGAUCACUUAAGAUGCAAGACUUUUAGUCACAAAGUAAAUAUUCCUAUUUCAGUCCUUGUCAAAACUUUGGCAAAAAAAAAAAGAAAAAUGAUUCCUAUCAAAACAUAGAGCAUCCACAAUGGGAGGGUGUAUAUGAGGGUGUAUGUUAAAUAUACAUCCCUUGUCACCGGAAUCAUCUGCAAUGGGGAGAUGAAAAGGGUUGUAAAUAUACAUCACCACCAUGGAGAUGUAAAAAAAUGUACAUUUACAUCUAUUUUUACAUCUUUUGCAAGUGGGACCCACCCGAAAAAAGAGAAGAAAAAUGAAGAAAAGUCAGCAUAAAAGGCUGGGACCCGCGGCUACAGUAAUUGCUAGAAAAAAAAAAUCACAUGUUGUUUGCUUAUUUGUGGUUUUCAUGCUCCCCCAAUGUUUUUGGAUGAUCAUAUCUUCUCCGAAUUUCAAUAUUUUUAGGGCUAUUUGUUUGAAAAAUUAAAAUUAACCUCAUACAAAAAAAAAUUAAUUUUAUAAAGUAAACACAAAAUACAAAUUUAACACAAAAACGAAUUAAGAAAAAUAAAACAAUUACACAUCUUAGAUUUACAUCUUCUCCUAUUGGAGCCAAAAACGUAUUUACAUCCCCUGGAGGUGUAAAGGGGAUGUAAAAGUGGCUUUACACCCCCGAAUUUACGCCCCUUACUGUGGAUGCUCUCAGUGCAUAUGAUGUACAGAUAAUUCACCAAAAAAAAAAAAAAAGGAAAUUAGUAUUGACAGUAUUCCACAUGGGAAGAUGGAAACGUUGUAAUAUAGUGCUUAAACUUCUCCACCUAUUGUCAAUUAUUUUUACGUUGAAUGCUGAUAUCUUAAAGAUAACGCUACUCAAUCAGGUUCUUAUUUGACUCUCAACAUUGAAAAAUGCAUUACAAACUAAAGUUCAUUUUAUCGUGGAAUAUAUAUAUUUUUUCAUGGACCCUGAAAUUUAGAAAACAAUUAAAAAGGCAAAAAAGAAAAAGAAAAAUAGGCAAUUUAGGGUCCUUUCAGUAAUGUUUUCGGAGAAUAUAUUCAGAAAAUGAAAAUGAGAAAACGAAUAUACAUUUUCAAGAUUCGAGAAUGCAUAUGGUAGACUAAGUAAAUAUUUUUCGAGAACGAAAACAGUAAAAACGUGUCUAAUACGAACAUAUGAAAAUGACAAAAAUACUGAAUUGGCAACAGUAUUAUAAAAAUUAUUUUCAACAUCAUAAAUCAAAUAUUGUGUGUAGCACAUAUCUUAUCAGACUUACUAAUAGGCCAAAAAAUUUCUUAAAAAUUGUGCAAUGGUCUAAUUAAUUAUCAUUAUCCAAUACAUGCUAGAUAACCCAAAAUGGGCUCAUGUCCUCCAAGAUAUCAUCCUACAUCAUAGAUCAAAUCUCUUAUAGUCUCACAAAUAUUUGAAAAAUAUGCAAAAUAAAAUUUAAAAUCAUGUUGUCAUGAGCACUAAAUAAAACCCCACCAUAAAUUUGCUGCGAUAUAUUGUCUCUAAUGUCGCCUAUUUGUGCAAUAUUUCCUUUUGACAUAUCUAUAUUCGGUGGUAUUGUAUUUUUUGAGUCAAUGAUCAUGUCUUCAACUUGGAACUCUUCGAUCAUCCUAUCACGACCAACUUCUUUUCUUAUAAAAUUAUGCAACACACAACAUACAAUAGGAACUCAUUGUUGCCUUCUCGGAGGAUAAUUAGGCAUCAAUUUCAAAAUUAGAAAAAGAGCUUUCAAAACACCAAAACAUCGCUCAAUUACAUUACAUAAUGAGGAGUGCCUAUAGCUCAACAAUUCCAUAGGACCUCUUGGUGUUUGUCGAGGUCCUCUAUCAUCACGCAAAUGAUAUCUCUCACCUCGAUAGGGUGCCAAGAAUUCAGGCACUUUUGAAUAUCCAACAUCCACAACAAUACCCUGUAAUUGUAAUUUAUUACUUGCAAGACACAAAUAAUGUACAUAAUAAUAUUAAUUGUAAUCUUAUGUUUAUACCUUCUUCUGGAAAAGGAAACUCUCAUUUUCUGGCCUUAUCACUGCAUCUAUGAACACCCUAGAGUCAUUUGCAGUUCCUUCCCAGCCCGUAUAAACAAAAGUGAACAUCAUGUCCAAAGAGCAAGCACACAUGGCCUUUUGAGUAAUAAGAAUCUUCCUACCAUGAUAUGAGGUUUGCUUUUGAGUUGGUGCCUAAGCAACAACAUGAGUUCCAUCAAUUGCACUAACACACUUCUGCGAUAAAUUCAUAUAUUUACAAACUAUAAAGUAAAUAUAAUUUAAAAUAUAUAAUUAUAAUAAUAAAAUAAAUAAAAUUAACAAUUGAUUUCUCACCUCAAAAUAAGGAUAAUACUUUAGGUUAUUCAAAAUUUCAGAAGGUGUUUCCUCUCGACUUUGUGGCCUUAUAAUACGUGGUGCUAAAGCACAUAAAGCUCCCAAAACACACUAAAAUUGUCUAUGAAUUGUGUCUUUAGAUCGUUGGAAAUGAUCAACAGCCAGUCACAUGCAGAUAUUAUGAGACACUAUAAAUAUGAAAAUUGCCAUUGCCUUAUAAGUACCCACAUUUCUAUCAUUCUGUGGCAAAUUUAAACUCUCAAGUGUGUAACGCAACCUUUGGAAUACAUGUUUGUACAUGUGAAACGAGUCUUAAAUCCUAUCUGCUGGAUGCCCAUUCAAACAUAUUCAUGCUCGGAUAAAACAGAAUUAUGACAUGGAGUUCUAUGUACAUAUGAUUGCCAAUAUUCAUAAAUAUGCAUACAAAUUAUCAUAUGAUGCACCAUUUCCUUCGGAUCUGAAUCACUAUCGGAGUGAUUGUCUUCAUUCCUUAUAGACAUGUCUAGUACCUUCAAGUAUUCAAAUUCAAUAAAGAAUUAUGCAUACAAAUUAAAGUCACAAAAAUCUAAAAUAUGCAUACAAAUUAAAGUCACAAACAUCAAACAGAAUAAGAAGAACAAUUCAUUAGUAUUCUCUCAACAAUAAACAUAAGUAGCAAUCCUAAAGACUAGCCAACCAAACUCUCCUCCUUUCUUCUGGCAUUAUAACAAAGAUUUUCCUCCAUUCAACAAUCACUAUCUUUUCUAGCAUCUUGUCGAUGUAUUGUUAUCAAUAUCUCCCAUUGUCUCAACAAUUCCUAUGCAUUCUUCAAUCGAAUACAUUUCCUUAGAGGUGCUAGAUGCCUCAAGCAAUGGCCACAGCAGCAAGCAACAACAGCAACAAUAGAAGCUACUCUGCCAUCUUCUGCCGCUUCCAUCUGUCUAGCCGUCAUGUCACGACGACAACCCGCAAACAAAAAGAAAAAGAAAAAGGCCACGCUAGCCGCCGCUACCAUCGAUACCGAUCAUGACAACAACUAACCGGGCCCACCUAGUUGGUACUCAUGUCGAAGAAGAAAAGAAGAAGAAAAAAAAAUCAAAUUCGAUUUACCUUGGGGUGUACGGCAACUCCUCUCUUCAACAAGCAGUACAAUUCUCCAAGAUCUCUCUCAAACUAGAAAGCAAAGAAGACAAGUUUUCAAUUUGAAGAAGAGCGAAAAGAAGCUUUGUAUUUAUAAAGAUUGGGCAUCCUAGGUCAAGAAGGAAGCACGAGUUCAUUUCCAUUAGGAGCUCAACUCAAGAAAAAGUCAAAAGCCUACUCCAAUUAGGAGCCCAAUUGGCAAAAGGAUUCCAACUCAAAGAAGAAAGCCCAAAUGCAGUUGGAAAGCCCGAAAAGUAUUUCUCACCUCCUCUACACCUCACAAGCGCCAUGCAAAAGUUGGGGGACAUUUGUGGGAGAAAAUAAUCAAGUUUCCAAUCAUAAGGUGCCACAUGGACAAGAAGAAUAUCUCCUAUGUCAAUUAAUUGAGCCCAUUUAUUUGGCUAAUUAGUUGAUCUAAAAAUAGGGAUAUUAUCUUAAAUAUGGGAUAUUAUCUUUAUUUGGGAAUAUAAUUACCAAUUAAAAGAUAAUAUCAUCAAUUUAGGAUAUUAUCUUAAUUGGGAUAUAUUAUCAUCAAUCAAUGAUUUAAUCCCAAUCAAAUUCUUAAUUGACUUAAUCUCUCCAUUUAGGGGAAAAAAUAUCUUCCUUCCAAAUAAGAAGAUAUUCUUUGAAAAUCUCUCCAUUUAGGUAAUUCCGAAACCUAGCAAGAAUUCACCAAAACCUCUCUCUCUCUCGCCGACGGCCUCUCUCACUCUUAUCUCUCUCACACGGCCAAGUGCCACCACACACGGUUCUGGCCCCCUGACUCUCCCCCGGAGAGAAAGCUCUGUACCUUUUUAGUUAUUGCCACAUAUUUUCUCAAAGAUCCAAUCGAACUAACUUAGGCAUCCGAGGGACUUUGGCCAACAACUUCCGGAUAUAGUUUUUUACUCAUGUUUGUUUCGUAGGAACGAGGAAGAGAGAGAAGAAAGCUCAAAAGGUGAAGGAUCUACAUGCGAAUACUCUUCCUUGAGAAAUUUGCAUAAACAGAAGAAGUGUGACAUAUUCUUAAUUCAAAAAUAUCCAUCCGAAACAAGGAAAAAAUUGUAAAACUAAACUUAUGAAAUUAUACCUCUAUUCUGGUCAGCAUGAAUGGAUAUGUCCAAACAAAUUUUAAUCCAAAAAGAAAAAUCAGAGGUGAAGGUUUAGGGUUUCACAAACAGAUCUACUAAGUAAAACGAAUUAACAUAUGAUAUGGGCAAAAUAAAGAAAUGAGACCAAGAUAAAACUUCUAGAAACGUGACAAAUUGUCCUUUGAAGUAAUUUUACGUAAGCAUAACAAUUCGAAAUAAAAGAUAAACAAAUAAAAAAUCCUAUGAAUGUGGAUGGGACGAGGAAAAUUGAAGCUGACAAUAAAGGUUACUUGGGAUAUAUCCAAAGAAAAAAAAAGAAGAGAAAUACUACUUUUCCUUCCUUGUUUUACUUUUCUCCCUCAUUAAUUGUACUUAGCUUUAGCUCCAUGCAUCUUCUCCUCCUUCACAGCAGCCUAGGCCAUCAAUCACGCUAUGAAAAUGGUUACGUGGCGCACGCCUGGUUGUGUAUGGACUGUUUUUCAAAAUCACGAGUGUUCUUAAUCAACGUUUUAAUUUGAUAUGGUUGGCAAUUUUCCAAUUCUCCCAGUCUUGCUACUUUGACUAAAUUAAUAUCUACUUGUUUUUUUAUGUUUGCAAGUAAUAUGUACUCGUGCCAGUAUUCAAAGUACCUGCUAUUACAAAUAAACCAAUGUAAACAGGGACUAAGCGUUUAUGGCCCGUUUCCUAGUAUUGAUGACCUAUCAUCUAAUGUUUGGGUUUAAUCCAAAUCUCUCUAGAAGUUUUUUUUAUUUUUUUUUUAUUUUUUUAUGAGGGUUCAAAUGUGACACCACUUGUCUACAAGUUAAGGUCAUUUUCUAUUGCGCUAGAGACUCUAUUGGCCUCUAAAAAAUCUUUUAGUUACUUCUUUAUUAAUGUAUACACGUGACUAGAGACCAUCUAAUAGUUAUCACAUUUUCCAUUUACAUGUGUGUCUGUGACUAAGCUAACAAUUGUAACUAUAUAUGUUUAUCCAAUUGAUCACUUUUUCUACACUUAUCUACAUGUGUGUCUGGCCUAUAUGAUGACUUUAAUUUUUCUGGAUUGAAUUUGAAUUUUCUGUAAUAUAAAUUUUUUGGGAUAAUGUGGGGACUUCAUUGCAGGUCAAUGACGUUAUCUAGGACCAAAUAUUACGAGUAAUUUAUUAGUUUCCCCAGGGUCCUGUUUACGUGUUACCAUGGCAGCUUAGACCCGUAAUCAAAAUAGCAAGAAAAGAUCAAAAGUUAGGCACGCUACAAGCCCUAUAUAAAGCACCCCCUGGCACCCAAGUUUAUCAUCAUCCUUCUCACCAAAUUACAAGUUAAUUAAGUUUAUCAGCAAGAGCAACAGCAAGCCAAUUAAGACAUUUCCAUGACGAUGAUGAAGAGCCAAGCAGCUCUCCUCGGCCUCACCACCUUGGCCAUCCUCUUCUUCUCAGGUAUAAUAUUAUACAAACUUUGUUAGGUGAUCAGAUAUCGAUCAAAAAGUUUAUUUUUACAAUUGUCUCUGUAAUCUUUAGUCUUAUGAUCAUGGUUUAAUGUACUUUGAAUAUGCAGGUGCACAUGCAGCUAAAAUCACUUUCACAAACAAAUGUUCCUACACUGUCUGGCCAGGAACCCUAACCGGUGACCAAAAACCUCAAUUAUCACUCACCGGGUUCAAGUUAGCAACCGGAAUUAGCCGCUCUGUGGACGCACCGUCCCCAUGGUCCGGUCGCUUCUUUGGCCGAACCAGGUGCUCCACGGACGCGUCAGGAAAGUUCACUUGUGCCACAGCAGAUUGUGGUUCUGGCCAAGUCUCAUGCAACGGUAACGGCGCAGCUCCGCCCGCUACAUUAGUAGAAAUCACUAUUGCUUCGAACGGGGGUCAAGACUUCUACGACGUUAGUCUUGUUGACGGCUUCAACUUGCCCAUGUCCGUGGCUCCACAAGGCGGCACCGGCAAGUGUAAGGCCUCAACUUGCCCUGCCGAUAUUAACAAAGUGUGCCCGGCUCCGUUACAAGUGAAGGGAUCUGAUGGAAGCGUAAUUGCGUGCAAGAGCGCUUGCUUAGCAUUCAACCAGCCAAAAUACUGUUGCACUCCACCUAACGACAAGCCGGAGACAUGCCCUCCCACUGAUUACUCUAAGCUCUUCAAGACCCAGUGCCCUCAAGCUUAUAGCUAUGCUUAUGAUGACAAGAGCAGCACCUUCACAUGCAGUGGUAGACCUGACUACCUCAUCACAUUCUGCCCAUAAGCAUAUAUAUAUAUAUAGAAUGGGAUCUUAUAUGAUAUGAUAUUAUACAUAUAGUUCCCAAUAAAUAAAUUUCCUGGAUCUUGACACAUUGUUGAUGUCAAGAAUUUGUAAUGCAGACGAUCAAAUAAAGGAAUAAAUGUUUGGAUUUUAUUUUC